AUACGGAGGGUCCAAGCGUUAUCCGGAUUCAUUGGGUUUAAAGGGUCGGCAGGCGGGAAAAUAAGUCAGUGGUGAAAGCCUACAGCUCAACUGUAGAACUGCCAUUGAUACUGUUUUUCUUGAGUAUAGAUGAAGUGGGCGGAAUAUAUCAUGUAGCGGUGAAAUGCAUAGAUAUGAUAUAGAACACCGAUUGCGAAGGCAGCUCACUAAACUAUUACUGACGCUCAGGGACGAAAGCGUGGGGAGCGAACAGGAUUAGAAACCCCAGUAGUCC
rnacentral:rRNA from 1 species